GACGAACGCUGGCGGCGUGCCUAAUACAUGCAAGUAGAACGCUGAAGAGAGGAGCUUGCUCUUCUUGGAUGAGUUGCGAACGGGUGAGUAACGCGUAGGUAACCUGCCUUGUAGCGGGGGAUAACUAUUGGAGACGAUAGCUAAUACCGCAUAACAAUGGAUGACACAUGUCAUUUAUUUGAAAGGGGCAAUUGCUCCACUACAAGAUGGACCUGCGUUGUAUUAGCUAGUAGGUGAGGUAAUGGCUCACCUAGGCGACGAUACAUAGCCGACCUGAGAGGGUGAUCGGCCACACUGGGACUGAGACACGGCCCAGACUCCUACGGGAGGCAGCAGUAGGGAAUCUUCGGCAAUGGGGGCAACCCUGACCGAGCAACGCCGCGUGAGUGAAGAAGGUUUUCGGAUCGUAAAGCUCUGUUGUAAGUCAAGAACGGGUGUGAGAGUGGAAAGUUCACACUGUGACGGUAGCUUACCAGAAAGGGACGGCUAACUACGUG
rnacentral:rRNA from 1 species